AUGAGUCGUCAUGAUGGCAUCAACAUCCCCGAUGGCAAGUUCUACCUAGGAGAUGCUGGCUAUGCAUGUCGGUCAGGUGUUCUUCCACCCUUCAGGAAAACCAGGUACCAUCUGAACGAGUUCUCUAGUAGGAACUAUCAUAUGACUCCACAAGAGCUGUUGAAUCUCAGACACUCCAGCCUUAGAGUAAUGGUUGAGAGGGCAUUUGGAGCUCUAAAGAACAGAUUCAAGAUCCUGGAUCAGAAGCCAUCCCACCCUUACCCUACCCAGGUUAAGCUUGUUCUUGCAUGUUGCAUUCUACACAACAGGAUCCUGCAAUGGGGUGUUUAUGGACUUGUGCUAGAGGAGGAAGAUGUGACUCCUGAUGAGGUGAUCAGCUCCGGCCAUGGUGUGGAGGCGUUCGACAAUGAAGCAUGGAAGAACAAAUGGUUGGAGUGGGCUUAUGCAAUGUGGGAUAACAGAGGUCAGACAAGGAUCUGA
rnacentral:rRNA from 1 species